rnacentral:rRNA from 1 species
GACGAACGCUGGCGGCGUGCUUAACACAUGCAAGUCGAACGAUGAACCCGGAGCUUGCUCCGGUGGAUUAGUGGCGAACGGGUGAGUAACACGUGAGUAACCUGCCCUUGACUCUGGGAUAACUGCGGGAAACUGUAGCUAAUACCGGAUACGACCCUCGGCGGCAUCGCCAGGGGGUGGAAAGAAUUUCGGUCAAGGAUGGACUCGCGGCCCAUCAGCUAGUUGGUGAGGUAACGGCUCACCAAGGCGACGACGGGUAGCCGACCUGAGAGGGUGACCGGCCACACUGGGACUGAGAUACGGCCCAGACUCCUACGGGAGGCAGCAGUGGGGAAUAUUGCACAAUGGGCGCAAGCCUGAUGCAGCGACGCCGCGUGAGGGAUGACGGCCUUCGGGUUGUAAACCUCUUUCAGCAUCGACGAAGCGAAAGUGACGGUAGGUGCAGAAGAAGGACCGGCCAACUACGUGCCAGCCGCCGCCGUAA